rnacentral:rRNA from 1 species
GUCCUACGGGAGGCAGCAGUGGGGAAUAUUGCACAAUGGGGGGAACCCUGAUGCAGCGACGCCGCGUGAGUGAAGAAGUAUUUCGGUACGUAAAGCUCUAUCAGCAGGGAAGAAAAAAGGACGGUACCUGAGUAAGAAGCCCCGGCUAACUACGUGCCAGCAGCCGCGGUAAUACGUAGGGGGCAAGCGUUAUCCGGAAUUACUGGGUGUAAAGGGAGCGUAGACGGCAAUGCAAGUCCGGCGUGGAAUGCCGCAGCUCAACUGCCGCACUGCCCUGCAACC